rnacentral:lncRNA from 1 species
AUGCUCAUAGAUCACAGUGUGAAUACUAACUUGCUGCACUCGGCUUGGCAGUGCUGCACGUUCCCUAAGGCCAGUUGCUCCCGAGUGAGUAGAAUGGCCUCACACUUCCAUGUUCAUAUCUGUUCCCAAAGUGGACAACAUCCUUGCCUUCCCUUCACUGGAAUACUGCCAUGGUAUCUGGAGAUUCACCAUCCAUCUUGUGGUCACAAAGACAAAACUCCCAAGCAAAGCAAGAAGAUAAAAAAAGCAUAGACACAUUAUGGUAAAGACAGCACUCCAGGGCCAGUCUGCUUCUUGAUUUAUUGUUGGGUGAAAAAAAGAAAAUGGAUCCUUUAUUUAAGCUGUUAUCAUGUGAAAUUUCUGCCAUUUUUAAUUACAUGCAACAGUGAUGCACCCCUUUUUCACAUUCCCCUUCGCAAGGCUGGUUCUGUAGCAGGAAAGCCUUCCUGGUGGUAUGGAGCCAGCACUGCUCUGAUCAGUGAGUGGCCGUAUCAUGCUGGUGUCUUCAUUAAGAUUUCAUAACUUUCUUAAACUUUAAAUAAAGUUUAACUUAAUUUUUUUAACUAAAAAAUG